UUUGCUGAACAUCUGCUCUAUGCCACACUGUUGGAAGAUUGUAGAGGGAGAAAUUGAAGUACUGAAACUUACUUGUAAUUCAGAUUUCAGUUUAGUCACUUUGUAAGCUGUUGAUGUAAGGCAACAACAGAGUAUCCUGACACAACUACUUCACGGCUUGAACAGACUGUAGUGGCCUACGAUAUCUACCUAUUGGAAUUGUCAUCUGUUGCCUACAUUUGACCUGCUGGAACUCCCACGUCCCUUCUCCCCUUCCAUCCUUAGAUGACCCAAGGCCCUCCGCAAGCACCCUGAAUCCAUAUUCACCAAUCAGCAUGACGGAGGCUUGGCAACAGCAUGCUGUGGCCCCUCCCCCUGUGGUUCACACCAUCCCCCCAGGGGCGGAGAACACAUUGGGCUGUGCUGUGUAUGGAAUUGUCCUGCAGCCUGACCCUGCACUUCAGCAGCAGCAACAACACCAGCAGCAGCAGCAGCAGCAACAACAACAACAACAACAGCAGCAGCAACAUGCCCAGGCACAGCAGCCCUCCCUGCAGGUGGGAGGAGAGGGUGGGCACAAGUGUGGCGCUUGUGGCCAUGACAUUUCACAUCUGGCUAACCCACAUGAGCACCAGUGCAUGGUGAGCCAGGACCGCUCUUUUCAGUGCACCCAGUGCCUUAAGAUCUUCCACCAGGCCACUGACCUCCUUGAGCACCAAUGUGUACAGGUGGAGCAGAAGCCCUUUGUGUGUGGGGUUUGCAAGAUGGGCUUCUCCCUGCUCACCUCACUGGCACAGCACCACAAUGCUCACAGUAGCAGCAACCCCAUGAAGUGCUCCAUCUGUGAGAAAACCUAUCGACCUAGUUCCUCUGGCAAUGCCACACCAACCCCAUCUGCUGCAAACCCCCAGCAGCCCGGCAGUGAGGGUGCAGCACCUGGCGGCGGCGCGGCCGUUGGUGUCUCGGCGCCCACCGCAUUUGAGGCUUCAUCCCCGGAUAGACCGUACAAGUGCUCUGUCUGUCAGAAGGGCUUCCGGCAUCUUUCAGAGCUGUCACGGCACGAACGUGUGCACACGGGCGAGAAGCCCUAUAAGUGUGAUGCUUGCGACAAGAGCUUCAGUCAGUCUUCGCACCUGGCACAUCACCAGCGCACGCACAGCUCUGAGCGCCCCUACAAGUGCGCUGCCUGCGAGAAGAGCUUCAAGCACCGCUCACAUCUUGUACGCCAUAUGUACGCCCACUCAGGUGAGCACCUCUUUAAGUGCAACCUGUGUGAGAUGCACUUCAAGGAAUCUUCGGAGCUGCUGCACCACCAGUGCCAGCCAGCAGGUGAGCGGCCCUUCCGCUGUGCUACCUGUGGAAAGGGCUUCAAGCGACCAUCAGACCUGCGGCAGCACGAGCGCACGCACUCAGAAGAACGGCCAUUUCAGUGCGAAGAGUGCCAGAUGAGCUUCAAGCAACAGUACGCGCUGGUGCGCCAUCGUCGCACCCAUAAGAGCUCAGCCGAACGCCCCUUCAAGUGCAACCUAUGCGACAAGGGCUUCCUGCAGCCUUCACACCUGCUGUACCAUCAGCAUGUGCAUGGUAUGGAGAGCCUGUUUAAGUGUGCCUCCUGCCAGAAGGGCUUCAGCCAGUCCAGCGAGCUGCUGCGCCACAAAUGCGGCGGUACCGGGUCGGCUGUAGCCGCUGCUGAGCGGCCUUACAAAUGCGAUGUGUGCGGCAAGGGCUACAAAAAGUCAUCGACACUACAGCGGCACCAGAACUCGCACUGCUCGGAGAAACCGCUUAAGUGCUCGCUCUGUGACCGUCGCUUCCUCUCAUCCUCCGAGUUUGUCCAGCACCGCUGUGACCCAGCCCGUGAGAAACCACUAAAGUGCCCCGACUGCGAAAAGCGCUUCAAGUAUUCGUCGGACCUGCAGCGACACCGACGUGUCCAUACUGGCGAGAAGCCCUUCAAAUGUCCCAGCUGUGACAAGGGCUUCAAGCAGCGCGAGCACCUGGCCAAGCACCAGAGUGUGCAUGCCCGCGAGGCCCAGUUCAAGUGCGUCUGGUGUGGGGAGCGCUUUGGGGACCUGGGUGCCCUGCAGGAGCACACCGUCCAACACACGGCCGAGGGCGGCGGCUAUUCCGUGCCACCUUGCAUAUAAUGAUCCCAUCUUCCACUCCUCUGCCAACAGCAACCUGCAGUUCAGCUCUCCACAUAUCAACACUGGUCCGCCUCACUUUUUCGUCUCACUGCUCUCUGAAAAAAGAAGUGGACUGGCAUACAUGCCCUACUCCUGCCCAACAGGGAAUAUAGUAAAACAAGAAUACGGGUUCAGCAGGAAUUGAACUGAAAUGUGGUUGGCUGUGUUCCUGUACCCUUUGCAUUCUUGGAAAGGCCUGUGUAGUUCAGAACAAAAAAAAAACUGGACAAGCAUUGCGUAACCCCUUUGUAUCUAAUGGUCGGUGAUGAAGGUGGCAAAAAAGAGGGCGUGUCCUUGUUUAUGUUUACUGUGAUGAAUCUUAGACUGGUCAGUAGCAGGACACGCAUUCUCAUCUCGUUCCAGCAGGCCACCGUUCGAACAGAACCGCUGGGUCGUUGCAAGCACUGAUGCCUGUCAGCAUCCUGGCUCAGAUGUUGGCAGUGAAACUUCCCCAGUAGUGGUUAGACUUGCUGAGUUCUACAAUGACUGAAGCAGAUUGAAAAAAGAUGCUAAUCUACCACCCAAAUUUUAAGAUGUCAAAAGAAGCAAAAGUGAAACAUUUCCUGCUGGCUAGCAUCUACGGCACACCUUUCUGUUUUUGUGUCCUGCUUAGCCAGUCGCAGAAGAGCAGCAGUAAUGGAAAUUGUGGUGCUCGUUGUACCCUUGCUCUAUCCUGACCCAGUAUGUUACUGACCCCUCUUAUCUAGCACACCAUGAGCAUAGCACCGGCACUUCACGGACAAAGUGCUAUGAUCUGAAAUGACUGGUGACAAAGUUCAAGCAUUCAUAUGUAAAGUACAGAUAAAUUUAUGCAUUUGUUUGUAUAUUUCUCUCCAGAUUCACAGCUACAGUAGCCAAAAGGUUUAAAAAGUGAGUGUCUUGCAGGGGGCCUGAGAAAGUCAGAGCUCAACCGACCUUAUGGUCCUCACAUCUGUCCUCUGACAGGGCAGUUGUGGCUACCCUGCAGCUGUGGUUAAGAGAGACAUGGAAAGAGGUGACUGCCAUCUUCUCAACCCAAGUCUGGCCAACUGAGACCAUGUAGCACAUACCAUGGUGAGAGAGGAACUCUAUUCGAAAGCUUACAAACUUAGUUCUUGGGUGUAGGGUAUUCCUAAGGUACUUUUAAGGUACUGAACCUAAAUUGAUUGUUAAAUAUCUUAUAUUUCAGAAUGUAAAAUUGAAUAAAUGUAAAGAAAGGUAAAGACUUUGGAUAAAAACGUGUGUACGCUUCUAAAACCCUUGUGCAAGGUACCUGAACUGAAUAUCUCUUGGAACGGUUAAAAAAAAAAAAAAUUUGGUUGAAAGGGUCAGCUCUACUAAAUUAAAAUGGUCACACUAGACUGGCUAAGGUAAGGUCAUGACCUGUAUGUUUGACACCACACCAGCCCUCCCUCCAUGUCUCUCUCCCUACUGUCUGCCCUGAGGAAAUGACCCCCAGUCCACUGACAGGCCUGCAGUAGCAGAGAUUCUUUAGCAUACCUGUGUAUAAGGGGACAUACCAUACCAGCGACAGUCACAUUUGAGAGCUCAUCCAUACAUCUGGACAGUUGUUCACUUCAUACACUUGAACUUAUUCUCGCCAUGCCUCGCCAGUCUCUUCCCUCUGUGCUAAAACCAGCAGUUUGCCCCUCUCAGUGUCCGGGUCAGGUGAGAAGGGGAAUAUUACAAUUAUGAGUUUUUUUUUUUUUUU